AGUUAAACAGUACGUGAAAUUGUUGAAAGGGAAACGAUUGAAGCCAGUCGUACCUUCGGGUAAUCAGCCUUUUGGGUGUGAUUUUGUGGAACGUGAAGAGUUAAACGCCUUCAUGCCUGCAUAUUCGUGCACUUUGGGUGUACUUGCCCGUAUGGUUGGUUAACAUCAAUUUUGGUGGUCAUAAAAUGACUGGAGGAAUGUAGCUUCGAUCUCGUAUUGAAGUAUUAUAGCCUUCGGUAGAUGUGAUGAUCGAGAUUGAGGAUUGCAACGGAUACCCUUCGGGGCUACCUGUCUGAUCUCUGAUCGUUGCUCUGGUGCCGAAAGUUUGCUUACGGUUAUCAAAGUCGAUGGUCAAUAGGUUAGAACGGGUUAAAUUCGUUAAGGAUGUUGACGUAAUGGCUUUAAA
rnacentral:misc_RNA from 1 species